AUGCCUCCUUCGGCGUCGGGCCUGGCUUCCCUCCUGCAGUCGCAGUUCCGGCCUAUGCACGACUUCCUCUUCUCCGAUUCAUGCUCUAACGGCUUGGGAUUGCUCGGAAUUUGGCAGGGCAUAAUCCAUGCAUCCUAUGAUGGCAGCAUCGACACCCGUGUGUGUCGUUUCCUUCUUGAAGGCGCUGUCAUGGCCGUUAUUUGUGUCCCUCUUCGAGCAUCAGCGGAAACCCUAGGCCCGGUUCCCGGAUCGGAUGACGACGGCGUCUGGGCGUUGCUCUCCUCUAUGAAGGUGUUGUCUUGUUUUGUACGCGGCGUCCUUGAUGUUGGAUUUGGAGAUGUUAGUCGUUUAGCUGUUGGUUGGGCUGCUCUUCGGUUGGCGAGUUUAGCUGCCAUUUUCUUUGUUUGGGUCAAGCAUCUCACAUCUCUCUUCUUCAGGCACCAUGCUCACAUCUCUUGCGUCCGUCAUAUGUUGUAUCACCUCAUGUACUCAAUCUAA
rnacentral:rRNA from 1 species